rnacentral:lncRNA from 1 species
GGGGAGGAUUCAGGACAGUUGAACAUUCCUGGACAUCACUGGGGACCUAAUCCUAACUUGGUCUUAGUUUGCUGGCAACACUGAAAGGAGAUCUGAGGGAUCGUUCCUGAAAUGGGGCACAUUUUGGAAUGAAGGAGUAUUUUUGGAUUUUGUCUGGAUUCAAAAUCUGGAUUUUGUGAAGGGCACGGAAGUGUACCACUGAGAAUCCUUUUAGGGAAGAACCCACUGAACCUGCUGCAGCAAGCAAUUGUCUAUGGACUCUCCAGCUUCCAGCUUGAGCUUGGCUUUUUCAGCUACCUGGCCCAGGAUGGUGCCCUUUCCUGGGAGCUCAUAUUCAGUAAGUGAUAAAGGCUUAGCUUUUUGGGCCCACUGAGGGACAACUCUAAUGAGCACUGCCAUUUAAUUUCUCCCUCUGCCAAAUCCUGAUUCCUCUCCCUUCCCCAGAUAUUGAUCCCUAAUUCCAAACCCUGUCCAGGGUGGCUUGGUGUGGUUAUUGUCCUCAUCUUAGCACAUAACCCCUCACUCCAUACAUGGUUGAGAAUGGCAGCAGCAGUUGCAGAAGCCAUGGUGUUGGCCAUCAUGAGGUGGUUUCACUUCCUUCGGUCUCUAGACAGUCUGCAGGCCUGCCAUCACUGAGAUAUUUCUGCUUAAUUUAAAUGGACAAGCACGUGGGAGCAUAUCAGAUGGUGAGGCAGUUGGCCAUUAUUCUGAGAACAUCCUUUUCUGGUCCCCCCAGAAUGAAUCACCAGGAAAGUAUUGAUCAGAAGGUCUGUGGAUCACAGCCGUCUGCUCUUUAACCUCACCGCAUGUUUUUUAUGCAGAGGGCUGGAUGUGUCUUCUGAACCACUGUCUUGAGAGCCUUUCCCAGGGGUCUGAAAUAUGCUCUUAUAUUCUCUAGCACUUCUGGGCUGUAGGAGUCUGCUCUCUAUAAGUAGCUACGCCUAGUCUCUGCCUUUCUGUAGAGUUUCCAUCUGAAGAUCCCAGAAUGCUUGGUUCUGAUUUCACAACCACCAUAAAAGCCCAGAACUUGAGAAGCUUCCAGAACCCAUCACAUCCACCUCUCUGACCUCAGGAAGGAUCCAUAACCACCCUCUCUCACACAUAUUCUUGGUUUAAAAUGAAAAAAUAUGGACUUUAUUUUCUUGGCUUUCAUAAUGCACCACCAUCCCAUUAGACCACAACAGGCUCCAAAAGCUCUGUAGAAAUGUAGCUGGCUUCUCCUACGCAGUUUUCUUCCCUGCCAACUAAUUCCUGCCCUUAACCUUCUUAGGUGUCAGUACAGCACCUAUUAUUCAUGGCUUCACUGACAUUUCUUCCAAAUCCCUGAAGCUGGUGGUGACUCAUCGUCUCUUGUCAUUGAGGGGCAUCAUCAGCUGUACAUAGUGCACUGUGUGAAGUUCAUGGUAGCUAUUCUCUGAUGCCUUUCAUCAAAGGCGCUCUGAGAACUUUUAAUUUGAUGACCUAGAGGCAAACAUGAAGAUUUUCAGUUUUACAGCCUGCCGAAUUAAAUUAAGCAACCUUCCUGGACACAUCGGUCCAAGAUUAUGGACUUGCCUCAUGAAAGCCAGGUUCCCAGGCCAUGGAAAGUUAGUUUAGUAAAGAUCUGAAGUAUUCAUAGUGGUCCAGGCCUUGCCUAGAGAGCCUUGUUUGAAUUUACCUACCC